CUAAACCUAAAGCUGCUUUCCACGAAUGCCGUGCCUCAACGUACUUCUUUAAUUAAACGCAUAAAUAACCCAAAGGACUCUGCUUUGAUGAUGAAGACUCAUCGAC